UUGAACGCUGGCGGCAUGCCUUACACAUGCAAGUCGAACGGUAGAGUAGCAAUACUCGAGAGUGGCGAACGGGUGAGUAAUAUAUCGGAACGUGCCCAGUCGUGGGGGAUAACGUAGAGAAAUUUACGCUAAUACCGCAUACGAUCUAAGGAUGAAAGCGGGGGACUCGCAAGGGCCUCGCGCGAUUGGAGCGGCUGAUAUCAGAUUAGGUUGUUGGUGAGGUAAAAGCUCACCAAGCCGACGAUCUGUAGCUGGUUUGAGAGAACGACCAGCCACACUGGGACUGAGACACGGCCCAGACUCCUACGGGAGGCAGCAGUGGGGAAUUUUGGACAAUGGGCGAAAGCCUGAUCCAGCCAUUCCGCGUGAGUGAAGAAGGCCUUCGGGUUGUAAAGCUCUUUCGGCAGGAACGAAACGGUGGGGUCUAAUACGCCUUACUAAUGACGGUACCUGAAGAAGAAGCACCGGCUAACUACGU
rnacentral:rRNA from 1 species